rnacentral:rRNA from 1 species
UGGGGAAUAUUGGACAAUGGGCGAAAGCCUGAUCCAGCAAUGCCGCGUGUGUGAAGAAGGCCUUAGGGUUGUAAAGCACUUUCAGCAGGGAAGAAAAGCGCAGGGUUAAUACCUUUGUGCCUUGACGUAACCUGCAGAAGAAGCACCGGCUAACUCCGUGCCAGCAGCCGCGGUAAUACGGAGGGUGCAAGCGUUAAUCGGAAUUACUGGGCGUAAAGCGCGCGUAGGCGGUUUGAUAAGUCUGUUGUGAAAUCUCCCGGCUUAACUGGGAGGGUGCGGUGGAAACUGGGGUGCUUGAGUGUGGGAGAGGUCAGCGGAAUUCCUGGUGUAGCGGUGAAAUGCGUAGAUAUCAGGAGGAACACCGGCGGUGUAGACGGCUGACUGGACCACGACUGACGCUGAGGCACGAAAGCGUGGGUAGCAAACAG